rnacentral:rRNA from 1 species
GUGACCGCCCAGGUAUGCUACCAAGGCGCCGACGGGUAUCCGGCCUGAGAGGGUGAACGGACACAUUGGGACUGAGAUACGGCCCAGACUCCUACGGGAGGCAGCAGUGGGGAAUAUUGCACAAUGGGCGCAAGCCUGAUGCAGCGACGCCGCGUGAGGGAUGAAGGCCUUCGGGUUGUAAACUCCUUUCGCUAUCGACGAAGCCACUUGUGGUGACGGCAGGUAU